rnacentral:rRNA from 1 species
UACGAAGGGGGCUAGCGUUGCUCGGAAUCACUGGGCGUAAAGCGCACGUAGGCGGAUCGUUAAGUCAGGGGUGAAAUCCUGGAGCUCAACUCCAGAACUGCCCUUGAUACUGGCGACCUUGAGUUCGGGAGAGGUGAGUGGAACUGCGAGUGUAGAGGUGAAAUUCGUAGAUAUUCGCAAGAACACCAGUGGCGAAGGCGGCUCACUGGCCCGGUACUGACGCUGAGGUGCGAAAGCGUGGGGAGCAAACAGG